UACAGAGGUCCCAAGCGUUGUUCGGAUUCAUUGGGCGUAAAGGGUGCGUAGGCGGCGCGGUAAGUCGGGUGUGAAAUCUCGGGGCUUAACUCCGAAACUGCAUUCGAUACUGCCGUGCUUGAGGACUGGAGAGGAGACUGGAAUUUACGGUGUAGCGGUGAAAUGCGUAGAUAUCGGGAGGAACACCAGUGGCGAAGGCGGCUAUCUGGGCUGAAACUGACGCUGAGGCGCGAAGGCUAGGGGAGCAAACAGG
rnacentral:rRNA from 1 species